GGAGCGGGAAUGGAGACAGGGAGCAGGACCGGGGAAGGGGAUAGGGACCAGGAAUGGGAGCAGAGAUGGCGACACAGUCCGCAAACGGAGACAAGGACCAAGGAGGAACAUGGAAACAGCAACCGCAGAGAGAAUAUGGGCUGGGGAUUGGUGCUCCAAAGUGUCCCAGUGAAAGCCAGCAGGGGCUGUGAGCUCUGCAGCUGGGCCUCCCCUGCGCUGCUGCGGCCCAGGGCCCAAAGGCGGGGGCUGCAGCCUCGCUCCUGUCUCACGAACAGGAGCCUCCUCCAGGCCCGUGGCCCCUGCAUGGCCCCAGCGUGAGGGAGGGCUCUGAGGCACAGCGGCUGCUGGCAGGAGGGGCUGCUCCGGCCACCUGGGGGCCUCUGAGAAAUGCCCAAAGCCUUGUGCUCUCUGCAGCUGGCCAAGGACAGCAGCGGGGCUGAACGGUUCGUGUGGCACAGCCAGCCCGAGCUGUGCAGCCCUCAGGGCUCCAUGGGAGAGGCGGCCCUCGGGAAUGGGACCGGGAGUACGGGACUGGGACCAAUACUGGGAUGGGGCAUGGAUACAGGGACAGGAAAUACAGGACUGGGGACAAGGACAUGAAUGGGGACACGGACCAGGACUAGGACCAGGAAUAUGGGAGAGGGUCUUGGAAUGGGACCAGGAAUGGGAAUAUGGGAACAGGACAGGGAAUACAGGAAUGGAAAUCUGAGAAGAGCAUUGGGACCAGGAAUAGGAACAGGACAGGGAAUGUGGGACAGAAACAGAAAUUGAGACCGGGAGUGGGAUUCACGCUGGGAUGGGAGCACAACGUGUCCCAGUGCAGGGUGACAUGGGAACGGGAGGGAGAGAGGGAUCCUGCACAGGGGACACCGGGAACUGGGACGGGGGGACAUGGGGACAGUCCUGGGCCAGGGGCUCCUUGAUCAGCUGCCCCAGAACCUCCACCGGGGUCUCCCAGUGCAGCUGGAGCUGCUUGGCCUGGGGUGCCCAAAGGCCUGAGCAACCCCCAAGUCCCUCCCAGGAACCCUCAGCUCCCUCAAACCAAGCAUCCCCCACAUCCCCUGCAAGAUUCCCCCAUGUCCCCGUCCUUGCCUUAGUUCAACAUCUUUAUUUUUACCCAGUUUUUGGGUUUUUUGAAAGGACAAAGAGAAAUUAAAAGAAUAUCAAGGGUACAGGGAGCCAGGAAGAAUUGGAGCCCCCCAGGCAGGUGUCUUCCCAAAAUGGAUCACCAGCACCAAGGAUCACCGGGGCUCUGCCCACCUCGGGUCACUGGGGAUCAUCCAGCCUGGACUGUCCCAUGGGGGAUGGAGCUGGAGCAGUGCACGGAGCUCUUCCUGCACUCAGGGCACUCACAGGGCUGCCCUUAGUGGUGCCUCCAUUGGUGUUGGGUCAAGGCUGAGCUCUGGCAGAAGCUCUUCCCACACUUGGGACACUCAUGGGCCUGUGACAUCACAAGGAGCGGAGAUGGAUGUCAGGCACCCACCAAAGCUGCUCUCAUUCCCUUCCAGAGAUGGAGAGAAGAGAGAAAAUAGAAUGAAGUCUUCAUAGGUUGAGUUAAGGACUGGGACAGAUCACUCAGCAAAUGCCAUCAUGGGCAAAACAGUUCAAAAUUAGAAAGAUUAAUUGAAUUUAUUGCUAUCAAUCAGAGCAGGAUAGUGAGAAGUAAAAGAAGGCUUUAAAAACACCUUCUGUCCAUCCCUCCCUCCCUCCCAGCUCUGUCUCCUCCCCCAGUGGGUGCAGGCAGACAGGCAAUGGGGAUUCUGCUCAGUUCAUUCCUGUUGUUUCUCCUGCUGCUUAAGGAGAGGAGUUGUUCCCCUGCUGCACCAUGGGGUCCCUCCUGGAGACACUUCUUCAUGAACUUCUCCAAGGAGAGUUCAUCUCAGGGACAGCAGCUCUUCACAAACUGCUGCAGCGUGCCUCACUCUCCCAUGGGCUCACAUGGAAGGACCCUGCUCCAUCAUGGGCUCCUCUCUCCAUGGGUUUGCAGGCCCCUGCCUGGUCCCUGCUCCAGCACAGGUUUCUCAUGGGGUCACAGCCCCUGCUCAGGCACCCCCUGCUCCAGCACGGGCUCCUCCAGGUGCUGCAGGUGCAUCUCUGCUCUCCAGGCCCUCCAUGGGCUGCAGGGGCCCAGCUGCCUCCCCAGGGGCUGCCCCAGGGAACCUCAGGGCAAUCAGCUCCAGCCCCUUGUCCUGCCCUGCCCUGGGGGGGUGCAGAGUUGUUCCUCUCUCACAUGUUCUCACCCUGGUCACAGCUACAACUACAUGAUAACCAAUUUUCAUAAAUCUCUUAUCCCAAAGGUGUUACCACCAUUUCUAACGAGCCCAACCUUGGCCAGCGGCUGGUCUGUCCUGGAGCUGCCUGGAAUUGCCUCUGUGGGACAUGGAGAAGCAGCUGCUUCCAUCAUCCUCUCACAGAAGGGAAUUUCAGUUCCCAAAGUUUGAUCAGAUGGAGGAGGAGACCAUGAGGAAGAUGAAGAUGCCCUGGCAGCCCCAGGCAGGAUUUCCCAUUCUCAAACCUUGGCCCGAUGCAGGAGGAGGAGGAGGCUGCGAGGAGGAGGAAGAUGGCCCAGGAGCCCCAGGCAGAGCAGGAGCUGAGCAUGGAGAGCAGGGAGGAGAAAUCCCUGUACCAGAACCUCAUGGAAGAGGCUGUUUUGAGCAGCUCCACAGCACAGGAAUCCAACAGGGAGGAAAAGCCCCAGACAUCAGGCACAAGGAGAGGCUGCAGACACAGAUCACGGGGAUCUGAGGGGGAAAGACCCACCCGAGGCUGGGGAGGCGGCCGGAGCUCAGAGCUGGGAGCAACUUCAUGAUGAGGAGAAGCUCCAUGAGUGCUUGGAAUGUGGGAAGAGCUUCAGCCAGAGCUUCAAUCUCCUCACCCACAUUCGGCUGCACACGGGGGAGCGGCGCUGGGAGUGUAGGGAAUGUGGGAAGAGGUACAGGCACAGCUCCCACCUCUACCACCAGCGGGUGCACACCACAGAACGGCCCUACACGUGCUUGGAAUGUGGGAAGAGCUUCAGUGUUCGAUCCACUCUGACCUCCCACCAGAAGGUCCACACUGGGGAACAGCCCCUCGAGUGUUCCGAGUGUGGGAAAGGCUCGGAGCAGUUUGGAUCUCCUCAAGCACAGCACACCAGUGUCCCGAGUGUGGGAAGACCUUCAGGCACAGCUGUAGCUUGAUCCAACACAAACAGAGCCACCACUAAGAGAAGCCCUGAGAGUGCCCUGAGUGCGGGAAGAGCUCCCUGUGCUGCUCCAGCUCCAAGCCCCAUGGGAGGAUCCGCGCUGGAUGGUCCCCAGUGAUCCCCGGUGGGCAGAGCCCAGUGAUCCGUGUUGGGAAGGCACCUGCCUGCGGGCUCCACAUCCUCCUGGGUCCCCAUGGCCUGGGUUUUCUUGUCAUUUCUCUUUGUCCCUUCAAAACACCCAAAACUGGAGUAAAAAAAUAAAGACAUUGAACUAAGACAUUGAGGGGGACAUGGAGGAAUCUUCCA